rnacentral:lncRNA from 1 species
UAAAUCCAAUAUUGAUACAGAAUUUACAAUUUAUGCUACACUGAAAUGGUCAAAUCCUUAAAAGAAAUUUGUUCAUCCUGCGUGGUAUAAGUUGUCUACAUCAUCUAUUAAUAUUAUGCCUCAUUAGUCCAUUUGGAUUACUAACCUUGAUUAUGGUAAAACUAACCACUAGAUUAUAACUUUAUAACCUAUUUAAACAAACUCAUAAAUCAGAAACUGAAACUGAAAAGACAAAAGGAUAUAAAGCAACAAAAACUUGAAGGAUUUCUUCAGGGUAACAAUUAGAACAUGGUAAGCAAUUAGUAUAACCCAUAUAGCACUGUGUAAUCACUCACCAACACUCCGAGCUUGUCCUAAACUAUGUAAUCAGUCGUUUCAUUUUAUGAGGUAGAGAAUUCCUAAAAACUUGAUGAAGAGACAACAGAAGUCAGCCCACAUAGCACCAAAAGCGAAUAAACUUCAAUUAGAAAAGAAAGCCAUGAAACCUAAAAGUAUGGAACAAAAACGUUCAUGCCAAAAUUAUGAUUAUGAAAAGCUAAUUGCAAUUCUUCUUACUUGAUCCUCCAGUUCUUGCUGAUAGGCAAUUUUUUUUUUUUUCAAUUCUAUUUCUCAGUCCAAAAUGCUCAGCCUGCAUUAAAUACAAAUCUACACAGAAUUAUAAAAAUAUCAGGUCGUAAAAUAACUCAAAAGAUUAUAUCCGCAGAAGCAGCAGCAAGGCUUCCUUGAAAGAGAACUCCAACAGAAACUGCAAAACAAGGAUAGUGUAUGGAUUGUAUUCGUUUUCAUACCUCAUAUUUGAAUAAUAGAACAUAUGCAAGCUUGUUGUUUCUGUCAGGCAUUUCAACAAAUAACUUGAAGACUCUACUUCGAAAAAUUUCAUCAAACAUCAGCAUUGAGUGCCAAUGUAGAGGACCAAGCACAGAUUUAACACAUCGGCAAAUCACUCAAAAAUAAAACCACAGACAAGGAAAUGACAUAAAUCAUCCGAUCCCAAUUUCACAAAACGAAACUACUAUUGUAGCGCACAAGUAUCAGCAAAUAAGAUCGAAGAAGCUAGAGAAACUAUAAGAUACGAACCAAAUGUAAAAGCAUCGUUACCUACUGUUAUGGCCGCACGUCGGCUAUCAGCUCAGGCGGUCAGAUUUUUCACUGGUGACGAAGCUAAUCAUUUGACUGAUAUUUAGGCUUUGAGCAAUAAUAUAGCCAUAAUUGGACUGUAGGAUUAAAUAUUUCUUAAUCCACAUUAUUUAUUUAUUUAUUUUAUAUAUUUAUUUAAUUAAUAAAUUAAUUAAUAUAAAAUAAAUUUAUUUAAUAUUUUGUAACUGUAUCAUCACUCUUAAAAUUUGAGGAUUAA